GCAUGAUAUUUUCUCAAUGAUGCCAUCGAAUGUCAUUUUCUGCAAAGCUAGUCCUAUUACCUUACAGCAUCUGUACUCUAAUGCGCCUUCUAACAAAUUGGAGAAAACAACAACUUACCAUUCACUGAGUGGAAUUACGCCAUCACUUCGUUGUUUUAAUGUCGCAGGGAGAAUUACAUCGGGAUCAUCUGGAGUAUGCACUUCAUCACCAUCUCCUGCAAGCGGUUCAUCGUCGUAUGUGAAGUCUUUUAAAUGCUUGACAUAACCCACCGAUUCCGAGC